rnacentral:lncRNA from 1 species
AGCUGCCGAGUGUUCCAGCCAAGGACUCCAUGUGACCUUCCUCUGAGCCUGGGGGAGGGUGCCGAGGGGAGGGGAGGGGGCAGGAGAGAGAGGAGGCGCAGGGAGGGGGCCUCCAGGAUCUGUCCCCAGCGCAGGUUCUCAGCUGAGCCAGGCAGACCGCAGGAAACUUAAGACCCGUGACACACGAUGACGCGGAACGAUCCCGCCGUGAUAUGGGAAGCGAGGCCCCCAAAUUCAAUCUCGUGAAAGAAGAGCUUGCGUUUUUGGAGGGUAAGGGAAGGGAGCAGGAUGAGCCCGGGGAACGGGCUUAGGAAAGGCCCUGGGAGCCAGCCGGCUGGGCCAAGAACACCCCCCAGCCCCGCCCAGGGCUGACUGUUGACCAGGUGCACUGUGCUGCGUGUCACUGUCCUGUCCUGGCUUCUCCUGCAGGCUGAGAAGUUCAAGUUCAAGAUCAUCUUUUAUGACCCAGAAGGCAGAAGCAGGCGUCUGAGUCCAGCUCUGCUCGGCUGUAUCGCUGUUAAUCUUCCCAGUAGAAACCCUCGCAGGAAAGAGCGACCGGUGGGAACCGCUGACGUCAGCAGAAAGGAGAAAGUGAACACGCGUGGUAGGAACCUCAGAACACGUGCCCUGCUUUGGGUUCCUGGCCGACGGCAGCUUAUGGGCCCGGAAAACUCCCAGGCCUUCUAAGGGGUGGAGGCUAGACCAGUGGGUAGAGACAGGAGUAUUAUCUGAUGCAUUACGUUGUCUAUUGUAACCUGUACGGAGGUUGUUCCAGCCUCCGUACCUUUAUCUCUUUUUAAAGAUUCAUUUGUUGGAUCAGACACUGUGGUGUGGUGAGUAAAGCCGCCACCUACAAUGCUGGCAUCCCCUGUGGGUGCUGCUUGGAGUCCUGGCUGCUCCACUUCCAAUCCAACUCCCUGCUGAUGGUCUGGGAAAGCAGUGGGAGAUGGCCCGAGUGCCUGGGCCCCUGCACCCAUGUGGGAGACCCAGAUGAAAUGCCUGGCACCUGACUCCCGGUUUUGGUCUGGCUCAGCCUUGGCCGUUGUGGCUACUUGGGGAGUGAACCAGAGGAUGAAGUCUCUCUCUCUCUCUCUCUCUCUCUCUUUCCUUCCUUCUAUAUAACUCUGCCUUUCAAAUGAAGAGAUCUUAUUUAUUUGAAAGACAGAGCAACAAAGACAAAGAUCUUCCAUCUGCUGGCUCACUGACCAAAUAGUUGCAACACUUGCUGCUUGGCCAGGCCAAAACUAGGAGCCCAGAACUCCAUCCGGGUCUCCCACCUGAGUGACUGGAGCCCAGGGACCUGGGCCAUCUUCCACGGUUUCCCCAGAUGCAUCAGCUGGGAGCUGGACCAGAAGCAGAGCAGCUGGG